AAUCAACGCUGGCGGCGUGCCUCAGACAUGCAAGUCGAACGAGAACCUCCCUUCGGGGAGGAGACAGUGGCGCACGGGUGAGUAACACGUGGGUAAUUUACCUUUGGGUGGGGAACAACAGCCGGAAACGGCUGCUAAUACCGCAUAAUGCAGCGGCUCGACAUCGAGACAGUUGUUAAAGCGGGGGAGUCGCAAGACCUCCGCGCCUGAAGAGAAGCCUGCGGCGGAUUAGCUAGUUGGUAGGGUAAGUGGCCUACCAAGCGACGAUCUGUACCGCCUGAGAGGCGGUCGGUCACACUGACACU
rnacentral:rRNA from 1 species